AUUGAACGCUGGCGGCAUGCCUUACACAUGCAAGUCGAACGGCAGCACGGGAGCAAUCCUGGUGGCGAGUGGCGAACGGGUGAGUAAUAUAUCGGAACGUGCCCAGUAGUGGGGGAUAACUGCUCGAAAGAGCAGCUAAUACCGCAUACGACCUGAGGGUGAAAGGGGGGGAUCGCAAGACCUCUCGCUAUUGGAGCGGCCGAUAUCAGAUUAGCUAGUUGGUGGGGUAAAGGCCUACCAAGGCAACGAUCUGUAGUUGGUCUGAGAGGACGACCAGCCACACUGGGACUGAGACACGGCCCAGACUCCUACGGGAGGCAGCAGUGGGGAAUUUUGGACAAUGGGCGCAAGCCUGAUCCAGCCAUGCCGCGUGAGUGAUGAAGGUCUUCGGAUCGUAAAGCUCUGUGGGAAGGGAAGAAAAAAGUAUACCUCAUACGUAUGCUCUUGACGGUACCUUCUUAGCAAGCACCGGCUAACU
rnacentral:rRNA from 1 species